GAGGCUGUGUCUCAAAAUAAUAAAAAUUUGAAUUAAUUAAUCAAUUAAAAUUAAUACCCCCCUUUAAGAGUGCAGGGGUCUAUUUGGGCUCACAGUUUGAGGCUACAAUAUGUCCUGGUGGGGAAGGCAUGGCAGUAGGAAUUUGAAACAGCUAGUCCCAUAGUAUCCACCAGAGACAGGGAUGAGCGCUCAGCUCAUGCUCUGCUUGCUUCUUCCUUUUCAGUUAGUCUUUAGCAUCACAGAAGGGGACUCUCUUUGUUUAGGAUGGCUCUUGGUGCUUUGUUGUGUGGCAACCAAGACAAGGUCUUAGUUUGUAACCCAGGCUGGCCUGAAACUCCUGCUCCUGCCUCCUAUGAUAACCUUCUUGAGCCACCAGCUCUAGCUGCCAUUCUAAACUCUUAAGAGUGACCUUUGUUUUUAAGAGUGACCUUUGUGACAUUUCUUCCUUCCCUCGGCUCUUACAAAUUAAGUUUCUUAAAAAGUAAUGUAUUUGGAAGUGAAUAAGGCAGAUGAUGGACAUGGGAAGCCCAGAUCCUGGGCCCCAAUCAGAUCAUUUUUUAAAUUGAAAUUUGAUUUGAUUUUAUGUGUAUAAAUGUUUUGCCCGCAUCUAUGUCUAUUUACCAUGUGCUUGGCCAGUGACCACAGAGGCCAGCAAAGGACAUUAGACUUCAGGGACUGGAAUCAUAGACAGUUAUGUACUGCUAUGUGGGUACUGGAAGCUGUACCCAGGUUCUUUGGAAGAGCAGCCAGUGUUCUGAAGUAUCGAGUCAGCAGAACUUCUUUUUUAAAGGGGAGUAUCAGUCUGUGGCACAGGAUCACACUAUUCAAUCCUUCUAUUGGCCUGAAAAUGGAGCCCUUUCUGUCUCUUGUGCUGUCUCCUGUGGUGGAAUCGCCCAUCAUCACUCCCCACACUUUCUUUGAAUUAGACAGGAUUUUUAAAAAGAGCAGAAAGACUCGGUGCCCUGGAGAGAAAGACCCAUCCCAGGUAAGGUCUGGUUUUCCUCACUGUCUCCUUAUAACCACUUCGUGUCCCACAAAACUAUUCCCUCUUCUGUCCUACACAGAGACUUUCUUUGUUUUGGCAGUGUAGGGACAGAAGCAUGGUUGUGAGAAUACUGGGCAAGUGCCCUGCCAUUGAGUUUCAUUCCAAGAUGCCAACAUGGAGCUUUGAGACAGAAAAGUCCCCCAUCUUUUCCACAAGACCAGCUGUGAAUAAAUCUAUUUCUUUUAACUUACUUCUGUCUCUGGGAUUUUCAGUCGAGCAGUGAGCAGUAUACAACUUCAGUUUCAGUAACAGAACUAAGUUUCUGGCUUUCCUUUUCCCAAGUAAUUUAUUGUCUUACCCCUUACCUGAUUUUCCAUAAGGGUCUCCUAGUUUCCAAAGAACAGCAAACAUAUCUGUAAAACAUUGGCAAAGAAAGGCAAAAAUAACGAAUAAAAUAAAAAGAAAACUGUUAAGGAAGAACAGUUUGUUCCUAGUCCUUCAUUAACUUAAAAGUCUAUUCUAGUUAGAGAACUGUCUGAACUUUGAUUCCUCCACAAAAAGCAAAUGAGCUUUAAAUCAUUAUAAAUGUGAAGGAGCGUCACUAGCCUUCAUGACAAGGUGAUCACAAGUAACUGCCUUUCCCAUAACAGAAAUAUUUAACACAUAUGAUAGAAAUAUAAACAGAGCAAUGAUUUGUGAUGUCUCAAUAUGUUCUUCCUUGCUGAAGGACUGUUCAACUAGCUUUAAUCAGUAGUAAGGGCAAGCAGACAGGAAAAAUAAACCGUG
ensembl:lincRNA Gm14762 predicted gene 14762